GUGUCUUCUGGGACAUUCUUGCUCUUGAUUUAUGCUCCGGUUGCAUCUUGACUUCUUGAGGUGUGACAGUGCAUUUUUGCCUUAUAAAGGAGUGAAAUUCAAGUUAUUUUGCUGCGUGGUCCCAGAUUCAAGAUGUGAUGUUUGAUCGAUUAAUUCUUAUUUCAGGUCUCAAGGUGUGGAAGUCAAAGUCAGGAUGUGAAUAUUAACAUACUGCCUCCCGUUUCUCAGGUUGGAGGGGACUGGAAAAGAGUGAACUGCCAUGGGAACAGAAUUCUUUUAUAGCCAUACAGCAGAUGCAGAGAGUGACACUAAAGUACUCACAAUGAAAUUUCUUGGGGAAGAUGGUACUGUAUGGAGAUUCAUGUAAAUCUGUCUGAAGUGUACUUUGGAUUACGAUGGCAGCUGCUGCACCUUCACCCUUGGCCAGCUCUGUAGAGAAGACAAAUGGAGCCAAGCUGAGCAGACUUCUAAUUGAUGGUGGAACGACAGUUCUGAGGAACGUGUUUGAUGGUUUUCAUCCUCCUGCAAACCUCGCAGCUGACCUCAACGCCAACCGUCUGAUCUUAAACAAUCUAUACAAGAAAAAGGUUUUACAUAAACCUCAGUG